rnacentral:rRNA from 1 species
GACGUAGGGUGCGAGCGUUGUCCGGAUUUAUUGGGCGUAAAGAGCUCGUAGGCGGCUCGUCGCGUCGACCGUGAAAACCCGCGGCUUAACUGGGGAACUGCGUCUGAGACUGGAUGGCUUGAGUGCAGGAGAGGAACGCGGAAUUCCAGGUGUAGCGGUGAAAUGCGUAGAUAUCUGGAGGAACACCGGUGGCGAAGGCGGCGUUCUGGACUGCAACUGACACUGAGGAACGAAAGCCAGGGGAGCAAACGGGG